GAUGAACGCUAGCGGCAGGCCUAAUACAUGCAAGUCGAACGGUAACAGGCGUAGCAAUACGUGCUGACGAGUGGCGCACGGGUGCGUAACACGUAUGCAACUUUCCUUCAACUGGAGAAUAGCCCGAAGAAAUUCGGAUUAAUACUCCAUAACGUCACGAGAAGGCAUCUUUUUGUGAUUAAAGAAUUUCGGUUGAAGAUGGGCAUGCGUUGCAUUAGCUAGUUGGCGGGGUAACGGCCCACCAAGGCUACGAUGCAUAGGGGUUCUGAGAGGAUUAACCCCCACACUGGUACUGAGACACGGACCAGACUCCUACGGGAGGCAGCAGUAAGGAAUAUUGGACAAUGGUGGCAACACUGAUCCAGCCAUGCCGCGUGAAGGAUGAAGGCCCUAUGGGUCGUAAACUUCUUUUGAACGGGAGAAAACCUUUGGUCGUGUACCGAAGCUGAUAGUACCGUUAGAAUAAGGAUCGGCUAACUCCGUGCCAGCAGCCGCGGUAAUACGGAGGAUCCUAGCGUUAUCCGGAUUCAUUGGGUUUAAAGGGUGCGUAGGCGGACUGAUAAGUCAGCGGUGAAAUCCCACGGCUCAACUGUGGAACUGCCGUUGAUACUGUUAGUCUUGAAUGCAGAUGAUGUGGGCGGAAUAUGACAUGUAGUGGUGAAAUACUUAGAUAUGUCAUAGAACACCGAUUGCGAAGGCAGCUCACAAAACUGUGAUUGACGCUGAGGCACGAAAGCGUGGGGAUCAAACAGGAUUAGAUACCCUGGUAGUCCACGCCCUAAACGAUGAUUACUCGAUGUUGGCGAUAAACCGUUCAGCGUCCAAGCGAAAGCGUUAAGUAAUCCACCUGGGGAGUACGGCCGCAAGGCUGAAACUCAAAGGAAUUGACGGGGGCCCGCACAAGCGGAGGAGCAUGUGGUUUAAUUCGAUGGUACGCGAGGAACCUUACCUGGGCUUGAAAGUUAGUGACUGAUCCUGAAAGGGAUCUUCCCGCAAGGGCACAAAACUAGGUGCUGCAUGGCUGUCGUCAGCUCGUGCCGUGAGGUGUUGGGUUAAGUCCCGCAACGAGCGCAACCCCUACCAUUAGUUGCCAGCGGUUCGGCCGGGGACUCUAAUGGAACUGCCCGCGCAAGCGGUGAGGAAGGUGGGGAUGACGUCAAGUCAUCACGGCCCUUACGUCCAGGGCUACACACGUGCUACAAUGGCAGAUACAAAGGGCAGCUACAUGGUAACAUGAUGCUAAUCUCUAAAAUCUGUCUCAGUUCGGAUUGAGGUCUGCAACUCGACCUCAUGAAGCUGGAUUCGCUAGUAAUCGGAUAUCAGCAAUGAUCCGGUGAAUACGUUCCCGGGCCUUGUACACACCGCCCGUCAAGCCAUGGGAGUCGGGGGUAUCUAAAGUCGAUAACCGCAAGGAGUCGCCUAGGAUAAAACCGAUGAUUGGGGCU
rnacentral:rRNA from 1 species